CAGGUUGUUCUGAUAUAUUUGAGGAGUGGUUCUCCCUCUGUUCUAUAUGUGGACUUGUUCUCUCAUUUGGGACCACUGUUAGAAUUUGGCUGACCACUUGACAUGUGAGAGCCUGAGGAGUUGUUCCCCCUCCGUCCAUGUUCGAGGACUUGCUCUCUCUCUGCCUCCACUUCACCACUUUUUGGCUACUGAGACGUCUCUGAUUGGUUGAGUUGACCACCCUAUAUAUGAGAGCCUAAGGAGUUGUUUUCCCUCUGUCCCCUUUUGAGGACCUGCUUUGUCUCCUCCAUCAUUCACUGGGCCACUUUUGGGUUCCUGAGCUUAUUUCAUGUGGUCAUGAAUUUGGUGAGGAGUGGAGCUGGCUGGCUGCGGACGAGGAAGUAGGGCAAUAUAUACAUGUGCACAUACACGUAUAUGAGAAUGCAUAUCUAUUCAGACCUGUAAUUCAUGUCUUAGACUUUUUCACACAGCUAUAGAUCAUUAUUUGUUUUUCAAUUCUCUAUUUAUGGUUUCAUAAUGACUGAGUCACCGUUAAAACAAAUGAGUUUCAGCUCUAAUGCUGCUACUGUCUGUAAUAUGUUUCUAUUUAGAUUAUUUG